rnacentral:rRNA from 1 species
UACGUAGGGUGCGAGCGUUGUCCGGAAUUAUUGGGCGUAAAGGGCUCGUAGGCGGUUUGUCGCGUCGGGAGUGAAAUCCACUGGCUUAACUGGUGGCUUGCUUUCGAUACGGGCAGGCUAGAGUUCGGUAGGGGAGACUGGAAUUCCUGGUGUAGCGGUGAAAUGCGCAGAUAUCAGGAGGAACACCGGUGGCGAAGGCGGGUCUCUGGGCCGAUACUGACGCUGAGGAGCGAAAGCGUGGGGAGCGAACAGG